rnacentral:rRNA from 2 species
AGACCCGAAACCCGGUGAUCUAGCCAUGGGCAGGUUGAAGGUUGGGUAACACUAACUGGAGGACCGAACCGACUAAUGUUGAAAAAUUAGCGGAUGACCUGUGGCUGGGGGUGAAAGGCCAAUCAAACCGGGAGAUAGCUGGUUCUCCCCGAAAGCUAUUUAGGUAGCGCCUCGUGAAUUCAUCUCCGGGGGUAGAGCACUGUUUCGGCUAGGGGGCCAUCCCGGCUUACCAACCCGAUGCAAACUGCGAAUACCGGAGAAUGUUAUCACGGGAGACACACGGCGGGUGCUAACGUCCGUCGUGAAGAGGGAAACAACCCAGACCGCCAGCUAAGGUCCCAAAGUCAUGGUUAAGUGGGAAACGAUGUGGGAAGGCCCAGACAGCCAGGAUGUUGGCUUAGAAGCAGCCAUCAUUUAAAGAAAGCGUAAUAGCUCACUGGUCGAGUCGGCCUGCGCGGAAGAUGUAACGGGGCUAAACCAUGCACCGAAGCUGCGGCAGCGAACGUAUC